CUGCCUCACAUGACCCCAAAAUGGAAGACUUCUCUCGCAGCUAAUGAUGCCCUCCUUGCUUAAGAUACAUUUUUGAACAGUCUUUACUUGCAGCACUCACAGGAGGAAUAACAUGUUACAUGAGUAUCUGGAUUCGUUUGGAGAAUAAAUUGAAUCAGAGGAAAUGAUGUAAAGAUACUGGGAUAAAUCAAAUAACCUUUAAAACCAAAGGCCUGAAAAAGUCCUUGAAAGUUUAUUUCUAGCCUAUUUUCGUGCUAAACAUAAGUGCCAAAAUCUACAUUACAUGUGCACUUUCCAGAGGAAAAAAAUCAAUUGCUAAACAUGAAACCAUCACAAUACCUCUAAAGAUAUUGUCAGAGUUCCUAAAAAAGUGAUGAAUCCAAAAUGGUCAUUCCUUGUCUACAUCAGAAGGUAAAAUUAACAUUUUCUGCUGCUUCCCUACCUACUAGACCAGAGAGUCCUAUAAGCUCAUACUUAUCUAAGAUUACUCUAUAUGGCUAGGAAAGGACAAAAAGUAAAGGAUUUUCCAGAUUUAUACUGCUGCUGGUUCUGUGGAACAGUCUUUUCUCUGAGCCUGACAGUCAGUCCUACCCUGGAAGAGAGGGUCUGAGUGAAAAUGAACAAUAAAUAGAAAGAAGAUGUGAUUGUGAAUGAAAAGAAAGCCAGUAAAUGGAUAAUGCAAAAAGGAAAAAUGAAUAAUAUUUACUACCUCAUGAGAUAAUAUGACAUAUUUACAGAUGCCAAUAGGGUGAGGCUCCUAGGCUA